AGUGAACGCUGGCGGUAGGCCUAACACAUGCAAGUCGAACGGCAGCACAGUAAGAGCUUGCUCUUACGGGUGGCGAGUGGCGGACGGGUGAGGAAUACAUCGGAAUCUACUUUUUCGUGGGGGAUAACGUAGGGAAACUUACGCUAAUACCGCAUACGACCUACGGGUGAAAGCAGGGGAUCUUCGGACCUUGCGCGAUUGAAUGAGCCGAUGUCGGAUUAGCUAGUUGGCGGGGUAAAGGCCCACCAAGGCGACGAUCCGUAGCUGGUCUGAGAGGAGGAUCAGCGACACUGGAACUGUGGCACGGUCCAGACUCCUACGGGAGGCAGCAGUGGGGAAUAUUGGACAAUGGGCGCAAGCCUGAUCCAUCCAUACCGAGUGGGUGAAGAAGGCCUUCGGGUGGUAAAGCCCUGUUGUUGGGAAAGAAAAGCAGCAGGUUAAUACCCCGCUGUGCUGACGGUACCCAAAUAAUAAGCACCGGCUAACUUCGUG
rnacentral:rRNA from 1 species